GGCUAGGGGUGCCGUAAGGCUGAGAGAUACAAAUGUAUUAACCCUAAGAACCUGAUAUGGAUAAUACCAGCGAAGGGAAGCGUAAAGAUA
rnacentral:ncRNA from 1 species